AGGGCUGUAGCUUAGUGGUAGGGCAUCUGCCUUGCAUGCAGAAGGUCCCAGGUUCAAUCCCCGGCGUCUCCA